AUUGAACGCUGGCGGCAGGCUUAACACAUGCAAGUCGAACGAGUGGCGGACGGGUGAGUAAUGCUUGGGAAUCUAGCUUAUGGAGGGGGAUAACUACGGGAAACUGUAGCUAAUACCGCGUACCAUAGGAUGAGCCCAAGUGGGAUUAGGUAGUGGGUGAGGUAAAGGCUCACCAAGCCGACGAUCUCUAGCUGGUCUGAGAGGAUGAACAGUCAUACUGUGACGGAGAGACGGCCCAGACUCCUACGGGAGGCAGCAGUGGGGAAUAUUGCGCAAUGGGGGCAACCUGACGCAGCAAUGCCGCGUGAAUGAAGAAGGCCUUCGGGUUGGAAAGUUCUUUCGGUAGCGAGGCGUUAACUACAGAAGAAGCACCGGCUAACUCCGUGCCAGCAGCCGCGGUAAUAC
rnacentral:rRNA from 1 species